GCUCGGGUGGUGGAAAUGGAUGGAAGACACUGCCGCCUCAAGACCGGCCGCCCCCCGUGGGCGUGAGGGUUCGAAUCCCUCCCCGAGCACCC
rnacentral:tRNA from 1 species